rnacentral:rRNA from 1 species
CUGGUUGAUCCUGCCAGUAGUCAUAUGCUUGUCUCAAAGAUUAAGCCAUGCAAGUCUCAGUACAAGCCAAACUAAGGUGAAACCGCAAAAGGCUCAUUAAAUCAGUUAUGGUUCCUUGGAUCGUACAAUCCAUUACUUGGAUAACUGUGGUAAUUCUAGAGCUAAUACAUGCAAACAGAGUCCCGACCAGAAAUGGAAGGGACGCUUUUAUUAGAUCAAAACCAAUCGACGUCCGCUUUCCUUCGGGCCGGCGGCGCCGUACUCCUUGGUGACUCUGAAUAACUUUUGGCAGAUCGCACGGUCUUCGUACCGGCGACGCAUCCUUCAAAUGUCUGCCUUAUCAACUGUCGAUGGUAGGUUCUGCGCCUACCAUGGUUGUAACGGGUAACGGGGAAUCAGGGUUCGAUUCCGGAGAGGGAGCCUGAGAAACGGCUACCACAUCCAAGGAAGGCAGCAGGCGCGCAAAUUACCCACUCCCGGCACGGGGAGGUAGUGACGAAAAAUAACGAUACGGGACUCAUCCGAGGCCCCGUAAUCGGAAUGAGUAUACUCUAAAUCCUUAUACGAGUAUCAAUUGGAGGGCAAGUCUGGUGCCAGCAGCCGCGG